CCAAGAUCUUGGAACAUCUGGGCUCCCAAGGUCCCUAGAGAGGAAGUGAAAAGGGUGGGGACCCCUUACACAUAUAGGUGCAGCCACACAACCAGGACAUGGGGUGAGAACAAGUCCUAACGAUGAAGGGUGCACAAGAUGACAGGGAACACUAGGGAGGCGGCCCCUGAAUGUGGGCCUCCCGCCUCCACUCCCAAGUUCUAACCCAAUCAAGUGACUAUUAUAAAACUUAGGUAUUUCUAUGUAUUUAUAUAUGUACAUGUCACCUACAAUUUGGAUGGUUUUCAGGGGUCCACUUUUCCUCAAGCCUGUCUGGCUGAUGCUUUUCUGUAGAAGGAAAGGACUUGCCUCUACCAAACAGUGAUGAACACUGUAGGGGGCCAGGGAUGUAGCUCAGUGGCACGGCGCCUGCCUGGCAAGUACAAGGUCCUGAGUCCAAUUCCUGGUGCUGGGGGGGAAAAAAACAUUGUAGGAAACUAGGCCAGGGCUCACCACUGCCAUAGAGAAUGUGGAGAUACUAUCCCCGGGAAAAGGUCCUACAAUAUUCAGUCUAGUGGAGAAAAGAUGAGGCCAACUUAGAGGAGGGGGGAGAGAAACAGAAAGGAGAUUGAGUCUGUGCUAGCAGACAAGUUACAUUUUCAACAACAGAGCAUCAUGGAACAAAUACGGCCAGGGAAGGAGUCAAUGCAGAAGUUAAUGCUUCUUCUAGUGCAGAAGCCAGCCCUGCCCACAGAAGUGGCAGCCUCCCUCCCGAGAUGGCAGAUAUGAAGCCACAGCACUAAUGCCAGGUCCGUCCUGAGCAGCAUUCAAAGCUGCCAUCCACUCUCAGCUGGGAUGAGAAGUGAUGGAGCCAUGGUGUCACUAUUCCCUCCCACAUUUCCCUAAAGCGAAAUACAAAGUGAGGAAAAUCUAAAGGAACCACAGCCAUGAAAACUCAAAUGUCCCUCACCAUAUGAAUACAGCAAUUCCUCAAGGACUGAACGAGGACCUAAGCGGACAGCAGAACAAACGAGAAAGGGUGGGGCUGGAGAUUUAGCUCAGUGGUUUCGCCUCCUGCCCCACAAGCACAAAGUCCCGAGUUUGAUCUCUGGUACCAAGAAAAAAAAAAGGUGGCACUGACAAAGGCAGCAGAGAAGCCAGGGAGCCAGGUUGAUUGCCAGCAUGCUCAGGGGAGAUGAGGGGACGCAUCCUGAGGAAGGACCCUCUGAUGUACUGCUACAUCUUCUACUGAGGAGUGUCAUCUUUUCCUUGGAGACAACACUUUUACUGAGGAGUCCCGUGUUUAUUAAAUUAUCAAUCUGCAGGCACAGCUUGAGCAAGAUAAAAAAGGGAUCUUCUUGAGUCAUACAAUCAUCUAGAUUCAAAAGCACUCACAAAAUUGAGCAAACAAAGCCAGCAUUUGCAUAUUAGGGGAAUAUAUUGCUGCUGGGAAGCCAAAGGCCUGGUCAAAAAUAAAUGCUCUAUAUUAAGUAGUAAAAUAACGGAGAAUUCAUCCCCUACACCACCACCUCCACAGAGAUCCAUGGUUAUUGCAGCUGCAAGGGAAGCUAUGGCAAAGUCACCCUGGAACAGAGAGCAGCCUGAGAAGCAGACGCAUUGGCACAUAAUUCAAGGGUUCCCCCAUCCCAAACAGCCUUUGCUCCCUGGAGAUGCACUGGAAGCUCUACCUGCCACUCCAGGAAAGGCAGAAGCAGUAGGGCAGGUGAGCAACAGCUCUUCCCUUUCCAAGACGGAUAGUAAGGCACACAGACACAAGCCUCACUAAGGGAACGAGAAGGGCGAGGUGCAGGACAGGACAGGGCCCGCCUCGAGAGGAAGGGGUGGCUCGCCGGGAAGAGCCUCCAACUGCAAGCCUGUCAUCCUGGGCACGGGAUGCACUGGGAGGUGCAUGGUCCCAUCCCUCCUGUCAGUCUCAGACAGGAGCAGAUGCAUAUGACCACAAGGAUGCUGGGCCCUUCCAAAUGUCCUGUGGGUUGCUGUCAGCUCUGGUCCACACCACCAGCUGAGGUUUCCUGUGGGGCUCGUCGUGAAUGUCCCCAAGGCCCCCACAUCAGGUUGUCUGCAGUGAUGUUGAAGUCCCCUACAUGGCAGGCUCACGGCAGAGCCCCAGGGGCGACAGGGCAGCCGAGUCUGCACAAGGCACUCCUCAGAUCAACAAAUGGUUCCCAGGAAACGACGGCCCCAGGAGGCUGUGGGACAGGCACACUGGUCCUUCUGGUGAGAAACAAGAACCCUGGUGUUCCCUCCGCCACUCUCUGGUGGGGC
rnacentral:lncRNA from 1 species